AUUGAACGCUGGCGGCAGGCCUAACACAUGCAAGUCGAGCGGAGCGGCGGACGGGUGAGUAAUGCCUAGGAAUCUGCCUGGUUGUGGGGGAUAACGUCCGGAAACGGGCGCUAAUACCGCAUACUAUCAGAUGAGCCUAGGUCGGAUUAGCUAGUUGGUGGGGUAAAGGCCUACCAAGGCGACGAUCCGUAACUGGUCUGUGAGGAUGAUCAGUCAAACUGGAACUGAGACACAGUCCAGACACGUACGGGAGGAAGAAGUGGGGAAUAUGGGACAAUGGGCGAAAGCCGGAUACAGCCAUGCAGCGUGUGUGAAGAAGGUCUUAGGAUGGUAAAGCACUUUAAGUUGGGAGGCGUUACCAACAGAAUAAGCACCGGCUAACUUCGUGCCAGCCGCCGCGGUAAUAC
rnacentral:rRNA from 1 species